CUAAAUUAGGGGUUUUAUAUUUUUCUGUAGUUCUCACAGCAAUCAUUCCAGGUAAGUAUUGCCAUUCCCAUUUUACAGAGAAGAAAACUAAGGAAAUUAGAAAUUACCAAACCCCAAGACAUUGCUCUUCAUGGAUUCAAGCACUUUUGGAAUCUUUUCCUUCUGGAGAUCAGGUUGGGCUGUGUGUCAGGGCAUUGCAGUGAAUGGGCCCUUUCUCUCCAUUGGUACCUGUAUUUGGUUUUCUUCUUUUUUGCUAUGGAUGAAGAUAUCUCAUGGAUGAAUGAUGCCAUUGUGAGCUUGGAGAAUACUAAUAUGGCAACAGGUCACAACAUGCGUGACAGGAAAUAGAACAACAGUAGAAAAACAUCUGGGACAUGCCUUAUGGACAAGCGACAUAAAGACCAGACAAGAAAGAAGAAAGGAAAAGAGGUGAGAAGUCACAUUAGAAAAAACUUACAGGAAAGCAUUGAUUCAACCAAGGGCAUAAACUUCAUUGAGCAGCUGGAAAAAUUGACAUUGUCUGGUACUUGGAAAAGAGGUUUUGUUCUGAACACUCCUGGUCUUGGAUAAAGGGAGGAAAUUUUAACCAUCCCAGAGAGUCAGGGGCUGCUUCUGCAACUGAGGUUUGUGCCUGGUACUUACUGGAAAUGGCUUUGCUUCCUGAAAGGUGAAGGUGGAGAAAGCUUAUUGAGAGAUCUCUGAUUGUGGGUGUGAGUUGCCUGGGGGAAGGAAGUGACACAUGAUAAAUUAAAAUCAGUUGCAUGGUCAAUGGGUAAAAUGAAUAGAGCUAAAGUCUGAAUCUCACAUAUACAUAAUUUUUUUUAUCAAUAUGUAUUGUGGGAAUUCUCAUUGUAAGAAAGUUAUUGCAAAUCAGCUUGUAAGUCCCCUAAGAAGCCUUUCUUGAUUCCCUUCCCUUCCUGAUUUUUUUCCUCCCUCUCUAUUUCUAUAACUAGGGUGACCAGGUGUCCCAGUUUGCCCAGGACAGUCCUAGUUUGCACCUGUUGUCCUGAUGUAAUCAUCAAUAGUACUCCCUUUCAUUUUCCUAAGUAUCCUGGUUUCACUCUUUCAUAAUACUCUGCACUUCUCCAUAUCAUAGCACUCACUGAUCUGUGUAAUAAAUGAUUUAUCUGUAUCCUUCAUUAGACUGAAAGGCCUCUGAGUACAAGCGUCUCGUCUGUCUUAUUCACUGUUGGAUUUUCAGUACCUAGUACUGAGCUGGGCACACUGCUGGCACCCCAAAAUGUUCAUUAGGUAGACAAAUAAAUGCCUAUGAUCCAACUCAGGUUCCCGGGGUGGCCUGGCAGGAAAUGCUUCAUGGGCUAUUCUGAGCAAGGUAGCAAUCACACGGAGAAUACGGGAAUCAAUUAAUCAAAAGCUUUUCCCGAUCCCACCCUUAGGUAGACUGAUUUAUACAUGUUGGUAGAGUCCAGCCCCCUCUGUCAUCUGAGUGUCAUCUGAGUGUCAUCUGUACAGGCAGCCCAGGUCACUCUUUUUCUGUAUAGUCGUUGUAUAAAAAGCCAGCAUGGGCUGUUGUCCACAUGAAUUACUCCCUGGAAAUAAUGCUGUCCUGAAAGACCAGCAGCCUGAGAGUAACAGAGAAGAGGGGCAGCAGCAGGGGCACUGAUGGCCAGGUUCAGCUUGGCCACUCACUGACGUUGGGAUCUUGGUCAAAGCACUUCACCUCUCAGCCUUACAAGAGAAAGGUCCCUUCCAGCUGUCAUCCUCUGUAAUUCAGUGACUAUCCUAGGGUUCACUAACAUAGCAGUCAAGGGCUGCGAGCCAGGAUUAUAAUCAUCUCAAUGGAGAACUAGAGAUUGCCUUUGGGGUACUCUACAUUCAGUUUCGGUAGGGCUUGUUGCUCAGCAAAGCCUGUCCCAGGGUUCCUCUUCCACCCCUGAGAGCCCUGCUAAUCAACCCAGAGGUACUGGCUGCCCUGCCAGGCAAAGAUGAGAAGCAUUUAGGAGUAUACGAUCCCAGGUAACCAGCCAGGUAUUUAACCAGGAUAAUCUAGAGCAGGGUCACUGGGUAAACAUUCUGGACUGUGAUUGAGAAAGAAUGCAAAGGAUCAAUCAGAGCUGUGAGAAAAAACCUUCAACAGGGAAAUGGCAGCAUGGGAUCAGAAGACAGAAAUACUCAAUACGGUGUGGGAAGCAGUGGGCAAAGCUGGAGAGGCAGAGACAGCAGCGUGGAUACUGCUGUCAAUCAGGGAAAUACUUGAGUGGUGCCGUUUUUAUGGAGCUGUGGGUGUGUGAAAGGCCCAACUGCUGAGAAGGCCUGGAAUGCUAGUGACUACCAAGGAUUCAUACAAAAUCAUGAUUGGGGUUAUCUGAAAUUUAACAGAGGAUUCCUGAAGAUGCAAACCUUCAUCCAGAAAGCAAAUUCUCACAUGACGGAAUUUCAGAUGGUAUGGCAAGCCUAGAGGAGGAGCUAUUUGGAGCCACUAAGAUUGGGUCAUAAAGCUCCUGCACAACCUGCCUUCCUCUAAAGCCAGAGUCAGUAAGAUAAGCCAGGAUCUAGGGGAAUUGUUGAAUAAGAUCGGUGAAAGGUCCUGCAGGUUUUUAAGCCUCCAGUGUUACCUGAAAGCUGAGGAUGACAAGUUGGCCAGUCAGGAGUGGAGACAAAAUCAUAAGUCUGUGCUUCUAAAACUGUCCCUUUUGGAAGAGUGAGCAUGUGCUCCUGGGUUUUGGGAACAUAAAGCAGUUCCCUAAGAAAUCACAGGUUCUGCUGGGACCUGUCCCACAUCUAGGAGUUGAUCAGCUGCUACUCAGAUACUGUGAAACUGAGGGCCCUCAACUGGGGGCUGCCGCCAAGGGAGGGACCACGGACUCUCAGAUAGUGACAUCUUAUGUCCCCAGAGAGCAAAAGAUUCCCUGGGAACUUAAGAGGAGUCAGGGAAGCCGGGAUGGCUCAGAAAGCAGCCUGCUCCCUCCCUGCCACCUCUGAAUCCUGGGGUUUUAGAAUCUCCCUGACAGUUUGGCAACACUUGAGGUAAUAGCAGCAGAGCUAAUUUGCUAAUCUGCCAGAACUGCAUCCAACAUCCUUUUGUGCACUGACACUAGAGUAAUGGGAAGGCACUAGCUCGGCCACUGUUUGCCUGCUGAAACUAAGCUAUGGCAUUCUCUGCAUAAUUCAUUUGUGCAUGAAAUGGAAGCCUAAUAGCAUAAGUAAAACACUAAGCAGAAAUAGGUGGUAAAUGUCUUUUUUAAGUCUUAAAGAUAGACUCUACUUCACUUAUAAAGCCCAAUUUGGUAAUACUUAAUGGCAUGAAACACUUUUCUCUGGAGCCAUACCUACUGACUGCUUUUUGAUCCCCCUACCUUCCCAGGCCCCUGCCUGCUGAGAUAGUCAGUCCAUCAUCCCCUUGACUCUCUCUGCCUCCCCAGCCAUGCCCUUGCAGAUGGCACUGAGCCCAGCAUCCUGUCCUCACAGGGCCUCUUACCCUCCCGCAGGGCCCACUGUAGCAGCAAAGGCUGGAGGCAUCCAGGUUCCAGGCCAGGCCAGGCCUGGAAGGUCCGAGCUUGCUGGUAACUGAGCUCAGGGAACGGAGGCCCUGUGGUGAGCUCAGAGGGGCAGCAGUAGCCAGGGCCAGGGGGUCGUGAGUGGGAGGAGUUGGCCUCUGUUCUUCCAGAAUUGGGAGGGCUCUGCUAAAACAGCUGCUUCUCAGUAGAGGAGCCUCAGGCCAAGUGAGUCUGCUCAGAGCCCGCUCAGAGCCCGCUCAGUGCCCGCUCAGUGUUCAGAUGGGUCAGGAGCCUAGCACAAUGGGCUUUGAGCUUUGUGGGUCUCUUUCCGGUUAUCCCUUGCUGCAGAAGAAAUUAUCCUAAAACAUAGUGACUUAAAACAACAGUUUUAUUUAGCUCACAAUUGUAUGGUUUAGGAAUUUGGGAAGAAAUUGGCUGGGCCAUUCAUCUCUGAAUCUCACAGUGUCAUGUGGGGCAGGAUCCACUUACAAGAUGGUUCCUCACACCUGCUUCCGGUGCCUCCUGGGUCCUCUGCUCCUCUCUGUCUCUGCACUUCUACAGGGACCUCUCCAGCGGCUUCAGCUUCUCACAGCAUGGCCCUCAAGGCUGGUGCCCAUGAGGAAAUGUUCAAAAGCAAGCAGACGAAGAGGCACGUGGGGAAGCUGCGACUUCUGUGACCGAGCCUCCAAAUCCCCAAAGUCACACAGCUGCAUUCUGGACUUACCAAGCAUGUUGGUAAGUCCAGCCAUGUCUAAGGGGAGAGGAGGCGUCAAUCUCAUCUCUGGAUGUGCACACAGGGAAGGAAGCAUUGAUGGAUGCCACCUUGGAGGCACAGUACCACAGUCUCCCAGUUACUCAGCUUCUGACAUUGAAACUGUGGACAAGAGAUCCUGGAGGACAGACCCUGAAGCGCUCCCUUACCUGAUGGCCUCCCGACAGAAGAGGAACCCUGGGCUUUAGAGACUGAUUAUUGUAACACUGAGACCAAAUGGUGGUCAGUCUUCGAGGGCACACCCUAUGCAGACUCAUUUCUGUGUGGGCAAAUGAGUGUCAUCUAAAUAUAUCUCAGCCAUACUGCUUCAGCCCUAAGGCUUGGUUUCAUACAGUGACACAUUAAAAAGAAAAACAAAUCUAACUCCAAAC
rnacentral:lncRNA from 10 species